GGUAUUCCAGAAAGCAGGUUAUGUGACAUACCUGGGUAUGUUUAAGGGUAAGUUCGUGGAUAACCUCAACGUUCGGUUCCAAAAACAGAGGUAACUUUCUGGGUAUGUAUGUAACCAUAGCAACUGACUCUCUGAAGAUAACCUGCUCGAGAGCAGUUAUGUUUCAGUGUAACUUCGUUUCAGAAGGUUGGUGAGCAUGGCGUGCCCUUUUGACGAGGAUCCUGUGGACGUAGAAGCACAAAUUAUACGAGGUUUUUUUCGUCGGGAGAGGGUUAUAAGACCGCGUAUUGAUGUGUUUGCAUACCCUAAUGAAUAUUUAAACGAGCGUUAUCGUUUUUCAAAAGAUUCAUUAGUUUAUUUAACACGUCUUUUAAAACCGCAUAUUGCAAAUGUGACAAACCGCGGCUCUGCACUUAGCACAGAAAACAUUCUGUGCAUAGCACUUAGGUUUUUUGCGUCUGGCCAUUUUUUGUACAGUGUGGGCGAUUCAGAGCAUGUGGGAAAGGCAACUGUGUGUAGAGCCGUUCGUACAGUGUGUCUGGCACUUAAACAGUUGUUACCCACGUUUGUACAGUUCCCUGGCCAUAAACCUCCGCUUGUUAUUAAAGACGAAUUCCACAGAGUGGCAGGUUUGUCCUUUGUAGUAAAAUAUAUGACGCAUAUUUAAUAUUUAGUCAUAUUAUUAAUAUUUAUACAUGUAUUCAUUAUGCACACACUUCAUACUUCCAUAACUUUCUGUUUCAGGGUUUCCAAAUGUAAUUGGGUGCAUUGAUGGCACUCACAUUCCUAUUAAAGCUCCAUCAAUAAAUGAGGGAGACUAUGUUAAUAGGAAAUCUAUUCAUAGUAUCAAUGUGCAGGUAAUAUGUGAGGCAACCCAAAUCAUCACCAAUGUCGAGCAAAAUGGCCAGGAUCUGUGCAUGAUGCCAGAAUUUUCCGCGAGUCAUCAUUAUGCCAGACAUUUCAGCAGGGUAUGAUUUGCUUUAUACAAUUUUUGUUUUUUCGUUUUUUCUAUAUUUGUGUUGUACACUUCAAUCAUUACAGGACAGUACAAUGGUUACUUGCUGGGGGACAGAGGAUACCCUUGUCUGCCCUAUUUAAUGACACCCUACCCUGAACCUAAGCCUGGACCACAGACAUGGUUUAACCUGGCUCACAGCCGAACACGGGCCAAGGUGGAGAUGACUGUAGGGAUCCUCAAAUCUCGGUUUCAGUGUCUGCGUGGGCUCCGGGUUAGUCCAGAGAGGGCAUGCGACAUUAUUGUGGCUUAUGUUGUGCUUCACAAUAUUGCCACUAUAAGAGGAGAGAGCCACCCUCCUUGUAUUGAGGAAGAUGGCCCAGAGGAACACCGACAGAUUUUAGAGGCCAACAGAGACGGAAGACUUUUGAGAGACAGGAUUUGUCAAAAUUACUUUUAUUAGUUUUUUUUUGCACUGGUCUGCCAGGCAGUUUAUUUCUUCAUUUCCUGAAAAACAAUAAAAGUACAAUUCAUUAAAA